rnacentral:rRNA from 1 species
GUCCACAGACAAAACACAUGGAACAUGCCUCAUCUCUUUUGAUCUCAGAAACCAAGCAAGGUCAAGUCUGGUAAGUACGUGGAUGGAAGGUAUCAACAAGAUGUGGUCA